UUUUUUUUUUUUUUUUUUUUUUUUUUGGUUCUUAAAUUUACUUUGUUGUUGAAUGCAGACUGGCAAAGAUAUUGACAGGACUUCCAAGGUACCUGAACCAGAGGGAAGAAUUCUCAAUAAGAAAAUGGAUACUGCUCAAACAUGUAAUUCAAGACUUCAGUUGUUAACGGAACAGGGUAAUGAAAAUGGCUGUGCAAAGACGGGGUCGUUUAUGUUCUCAACGUCAUUGUUUGCUCCUAGUGGCGCACGUCAUUUGACUGUGUAUGCUGUCUGCUCGUUUCUAAUUAUAAUCCUGUCCAUAGUUUUCCUUGGGGUAUGGAAAUGUCCGAGCUUGCAUUCUGUGCAUAGUUAACGUGUCUACUUUAGUCUUUUGUUACUGAGGUCAUAGUUCUUUGCAUGGUUGCUUGUGUAAAUCGUAUGUAGGAAAUUUCACGUUGCAUCAUAAACUAAGCUCCUGUUUGAUUUAGCUAAAAAUUAGAUUUUUAGUAAAUUUUAACGAAGAUGAUGAUAUGUGGUUAAAAAGUUAUUAUUGUGAAUCUUGAAAUAUGUGGUUAAAAAGAGUUUUGAGGAAAAUGAGUGUUUUAAAAAGUGGGGGCCAAACUGGGGAUAAAUUAGUUAGGUCUUUACGUACUCUAGAUUUCCUUAUAGUUUGUUGGAUAAAUUUUCGUUUGUAUAAAAUAUGAUUGUUGACAAAAUUACCGCUUCUAUGUUAAGUAAAGCUUUUAGAUUAUAAAUAGUGAAUUCUACGGAAUGUAUGGAUAAAUAAACAAAUAAAAGUUGUUGAAUAUGAUGUUUGAUCAGCUUAUGAACUUGGUAUGGUUGCAGUAAGUACCAUUAUAACUUCAGUUUGCUCUCAACUACUUCCGGAAGCUUUCCACUUGGUUUUGGGACGUAGUCUAGAAGAAAAUAUGAGCGAGCAAGUUAUAACCACUAUUUUACUAGCAGGUUUAGGGUGUAGUUCGAGG
rnacentral:lncRNA from 1 species